UGCAUUCAAAUUGGUCCUCCACUUCAUCUUUAUGUUGAAAAAUCAAUCAACCGCUUUUGCUUGAAGUAGAAAAUUGCAAAACUAGUUAGUAUGGCACUGGCUGGCUACAUGUUAUACUAUCUAAAAAGUGGGUUAAUGAAAGAUGGUUAUGCCAACAAAGGUUAUUUCCAGGAGAGAAGGUUACACAGACAAAGUGAGGUGUUUCCAUCAUAGAAGGACGGUCAAGGACUGCAAACAAACAGUGUUCGUUGUUUUUCGUAUGCGAAGGCUUC
rnacentral:lncRNA from 1 species